rnacentral:rRNA from 1 species
AUUGAACGCUGGCGGCAUGCCUUACACAUGCAAGUCGAACGGCAGCACGGGAGCAAUCCUGGUGGCGAGUGGCGAACGGGUGAGUAAUAUAUCGGAACGUGCCCGGUCGUGGGGGAUAACGCAGCGAAAGCUGUGCUAAUACCGCAUACGAUCUAUGGAUGAAAGCGGGGGACCGUAAGGCCUCGCGCGAUUGGAGCGGCCGAUAUCAGAUUAGCUAGUUGGUGGGGUAAAGGCUCACCAAGGCGACGAUCUGUAGCUGGUCUGAGAGGACGACCAGCCACACUGGAACUGAGACACGGUCCAGACUCCUACGGGAGGCACCAGUGGGGAAUUUUGGACAAUGGGCGCAAGCCUGAUCCAGCAAUGCCGCGUGCAGGAUGAAGGCCUUCGGGUUGUAAACUGCUUUUGUACGGAGCGAAACGGUCCGCCCUAAUACGGUGGGCUAAUGACGGUACCGUAAGAAUAAGCACCGGCUAACUACGUGCCAGCCGCCGCCGUAACAC